UCCAUUUUAGUAUUAGCUUCACUUCUCUCGACAUUCCUCAAUAGGUAAGAACCCUAUCAAUCGACAACUAUGGAGGAAGAGUCGUCGGUGAAUAGUACUUAGCUCCUAGGUGGCAUCUGCGUUUCCGGCCACCAAUUCAAUUGUCUAAGGUAAUUCGAUUUUGGGUUCCUGGGUUUGUGCGAUCUCCCUCUUCCGAAAACAUUUCAGCCUUGCCACCACCAGAAACGAACUCAGCGCCUCAUAUUGAGUGAAACCGCUAAUCUUACAUCUCAGUUCAGCCAACUUCGCCGUGUCUCCGCCGCUUCUGCCGUCGCUGCUCCUCCGUGAGUGGUGGCUAGGGUUUUCAGAAUAGUUUGGAUAGAUAUGAUGUAAUUCAGUGAUUAGUGGAGUAUGGAAUUCAUGUUUUGGAACAGGAGGAAGUUUCCUCCUGAUUUGAUGUCCAUUGAAAUGGACUAAGAACCAGCUAUAAUAGUAGGCAACAGAAAAGGAGAUUGAUCACAGGAAGAAGAUUUGAAAAGUAAAAUGGUAAGGACCUUGGGUGAUCUUGGUGACUUAGGAAUUAAGUUUGGGCUUGUUUAUGAGUUGAUUAUUACAGUUUGUUGUAAUGGCUGAGAAGAGUAGAUAAAAUUAGUGGAAUUACCCAUGC